rnacentral:lncRNA from 1 species
UAAGAGGAGGAAACCUCUGCAAUUUCAAGUAGGAGAUUUUGUCUAUCUCCGAGUAUCUCCUACCAAAGGUGUCCAACGUUUCGGCAUCAAGGGGAAGUUAGCACCUCGAUACGUCGGACCCUUCGAAAUUCUCAAUGUUUGUGGGCCAGUAGCAUACAAACUCCGCCUUCCAUCUCAAUUGGCUGCUAUUCACGAUGUCUUUCAUGUUUCUCAACUUAAGAAGUGUGUCAAAGUACCCACGGAAAUUAUUGAGACAUGUGCCAUUGAGAUUGAACCCGAUCUCUCGUACAUCGAACAACCUCUUCGAAUCCUGGAUAUCAAUGAAAGACUCACCAGAAGAAGGGCAGUUAAGAUGUACAAAGUUUUAUGGGAUCAUCACACCGAAGAAGAAGCGACUUGGGAAACUGAGUCUUAUCUUCAACGGAAUUUCCCAGACUUCCUUCAAGCCAAUUCCCAAAUUUAAUCAUCCGUUUCUGCUCAGCUUUAGAAUCUCGGGACGAGAUUCUUUUUAAGGGGGGAAGGCUGUAACAUUCCUGUAAUUAGAAUUUAGACAUUAGGUAUUAGUGUGUGGUAUGUAUAUUAGGAUUUGUACAAAGCACUAGGGGUGUAUUUGUAAAGUAUGAAUUUUAUAAGUUCUUGUGUGCAAUUGUGUGAAAAUAUUCUUAAAUGUCAAAUUCAAUUGACUAUAGCAAAGAAAAGUACAAAUAUGAAGUUAAAAAUCUAAGAGAAAUAGACUUUGUAUAAAACUAAGGAUUUAUGUGAAAUUAAAACAAAUAUAAGGGUUACCUAUGAAAUGGUUGGAAUAUAAAAGUCAAAUUCAAAUUUACUUAAGGGUUAAUGUGUAAAAAUACAAGUAAUCAUGACAGGUCAGAAAAAUUUGUAAACAUGCCCAAAGUUUGAUCAAAAUUAGGUGGGCAAAGACAAAUUAAUUUAAAUUUCAUCUUAUUUCAAAAUGUAAUCCAAAUAGCUGUAAAAUUUGAGUUUCUGAACCCAAGCCCUAAAGCAAAGUUGUAGAGUUUGAAAAACUCUACAACUUUCAUGUUGAACACUUUUUCAUUUGACCUUUGUAGCAGUGGGAAAAUUUUAGUUUACAGAUGGGUCCCUGAAUUCUUUAGAAAUCACGAACAGGUCCCCCUGACAUCCCCUGCUUCGUCUUCCUCUGGCACGCCGCUUCCCCCUCUGCUUCACCUCUGUCUCCGCCGCUCACCGCCGGCGCCGCGCCCUAGGCUCCACCUCCAGCCUCCGCAAGUAUCCACGCGUCGCUCUCUACCUCUCCCACCUCGGCUCCUCUCUCCCCCUGGCAUCUCCUGCGCUCGCCACGCGCACGCCGUCGCCGCUCGGCCGCCACCGAGCCGCCGCCGUCGCAAGCCCCCUGUCGAGCGCCCAGCCCUGUGUUAGCGCGCACUUGAGCCCUACAACAACCCCACCGAGCUGCUGGUCGCAUUCUUUUUCUCCUCUUCCACUCCCACGUCUCAGAACGCUGUCGCCCGUGCCGCCCGAACGCCGGUGAGCUUGAGCUCACCGUAGACCCACCUUUCCACCGGUGCUCCGCCUACGCUGACCCAAUCCUCAGCUCCACCUCAUCUUCGCGCAGCUUCCCGGCCAGUUCCCUUCUCCACUCGAACACCGGAGCUUCAUUCCCGACGGCCACCAUCCGCCGCCGCCUCCUGCCCACCGUGGGCAGCUUGCUCCGAGUACCCCCGCGCCACCACGACCCCUAGCCGGCACCACGUCAUCCCUGUGAAGCUCCACGAACCAUCAAGUUGAAUCCUAAGGCUGUGCAUCGUCCUCCCGACGAUCGCCGGUAUUGGACCUCACCGCCGCCGCCACUGUCUUCGUCGAUUGCUUCUCCUCCGACACGAAUUCUUCCAAUUAGUUGCACCUACUACACGUUCCCCAUGACGUGCUGGUUCUUGUGCGCAGGUUCCUUGCCCACGUUGACCACCGGAACCUCAUCGUCGCCGUCGACCUCUCCGCCGCCGCCUCGGGUCCUCGUCGGGAUUCCACUUUCCGGCCACCCUAGCCCUCGACAAGUGGAGCAACGGGAUCACCGUAAGCUCCUAAGCCUGUCCCUGCCCUUGAACCUCGCCGCCGGUGACCGCCGUCGCCGGAACACGGUCGCCCCUGUCUUGUUCUGUUCGGGUUCACGGCCAAGGACUUUGGUUUAGAAGAAUCAAAACUUCAGGGGUUUUAUGCAUAGCUUUAGACUCAGAGGAAUAGUAUCCAGGGACCUCCUUAUGUAAAUAUUGCUGCCAACUUAUAAACGCUAUAUAUUUUCGAGAAAAAAUCAUAAAAUUAUAAACUAAAUUUUGUUGGAAUCUUUAGAUAAAGAUCUGCAACUUUCCUUAAAGGGUCAACUUCAGUUUUUGAAUGUUUGAUGGUCUAAUUUAAAUAUCAAAUUUAGUUGCUUGUAGGCUUAGGAAAUGCAUAGUAAUUCAUAGAAAAAUGAUAAAAUAGUAAAACCAGUUCUGUUAAUUUUCUUUCAACAUAUAGAAUUGAAGAAAAAUAAUUAUCCUAGUAUUCUAAUAUUAGUUCCUUAAUGUACAAGUUUAAAUAGAAAUAGUAUAUAGUUCAUCUUACAUAAUUAAUUUUUCAUAUAUGUUAAUGGUUCAAAAAUCAAGAAAAUAUUUUAGGGUGCUAUGCUUUAGUAGUUUAACCUGUGAUUAAAUUUCCAACUAAGAAUUAGAUGUCAAACAUAUUAGACAUAAUUCAAUUAAACCAUAAUGUAAUAAUAAUACAAAGAUCAUGUGAAAAAUUAGUAUAGUCAAUGAAUAAAGUUUUUAAGAACUACCCCACCUGUUGUUCCAUGCCACUAGUUAGGUAAUUAGUAUAGCUAACCCUGUUGUUUAAUGGGUUUAGAUAAAACAUAUAAUGCUCGAUAAAUGACUGCCCAGUACAGGGUAAUUAAGUUAUUUAUCGAAAUAUAACAUCCUUUACAUUGAAUUGCAACUUUAUCGUGAAUUGAAAUACAAAUGUAUGCAUCCAUUAAACUUCAUCUUGCAUAUCAUGUAGACUCGACCACUCUCGCUGACGGGGACUAUCAGCUGAUUCCGGAUCAAGGAGGUUAUUCUGAAGACUCCGGGAAUCUCGUCGCAGAAUUCUCUGAAGUCCCGAACCAAGGUUCGGAGGAUAUUAACUUGACUGACCCCAGCCCCACCAGCGAAGGCAAGCCCCGGACAUAACCCCUACUUUAUUACACUGCAACCUAUAUUAUUAUUUAUGUAUAUCUUUAUGCAUUAGGUUCUUAGGAGUUGUUUGGAAACCUUAGUUGCAUAAUCCUAGGAACCUAUGUAUUGAAUACUAGAACUUGGGUCCGAAUAGCUGCUCUGCCUAUAGGACCGGUAGAAGUCGAGUGAUUUCCUGUCACUCGCGCGAUAUAGGAAUUGUGAUGUUUACAUUCCUGUUAUCACUAUAAGGAUGACGGACGGGAAUUUUAUGUGGUAUCAUGGUCAAGAUGAUACCCCGUCUGUUUUGAUGAACUUGGUAAGGUCGCAGUGUGUGGUAGCGGUGGUUAAGUGUUUGAAAGUACUAGCCACAUGCCGUGAAAUAUGGUAAGCGGUAAGCCUAGUAACCAAUCGGCCCGAGGAGUGGACAUACCUCCCACCACAUGUAUUUGCUUCUUUUGGUUACUUUGUUCGACGUGUAGGCAUACGUGUUGCUGGGCAACCAGGAAUACGGGUUUUGUAGUCGCGCUACAGACGUAUGUCCUGCACUUUGGAAGUGCGUAUGACCUGCAGUCGCUUGUGGUGGAUCUGAUCCACAAGUCGGAAUGAAAGGUAAACGGUUGCUUCGGAAUGAUCCUUUGGUGUUCCAAGCGUGUGUGUUAGGUUUAUCCUUGCAAGGUUUUGAAUCUCGAUUCAGGAAUCGUCCGCCUCUCACGAUGAAUGAGACUGCUUACCCCCUUUACCACAUAGAGUAAUAAGAGCAAUUAUGUGAUUAUCAAAGAUGAGGUUUGAAUAAAGAUCCUACCAUGUUUGAAUAGUUAUAGGUGCUUACCUAGAAUGGUUAAUCAACUAGAACCUGAAAAUUUAAAAGAUGAAAUUAAGGAUCUACUAUUUGUUGCUUUUUAGCUAAAAACUUUAACCAAAGCUUAAAGCCAUCAUGAGUCUAGUUAUGGGCUAAGUUAUACCCAAUUCCGGGUAAGUCUUGCUGAGUAUUAGUAUACUCAGCCUUGCUUUUGGUUGAUUUAAUCCAGGUAAUCCUCCUGAUGAGCCAGCAUUCAUUACACCGUGGCCCUAUCCUUUGCCUGAUGGUUGGUCCGUGGAAUGGGAUCCGUCCCCGGCCAACACAGAUUCCGCUGAGUGAUAUCAUGCCAGGGCUAUCAUGAUAUCUAUAAUAACGACAUGUACAAUGUCUACGUUUUCCAAAUUCUGCUGCUUUGACUGAAAACUAAAACAUGUCUUGUAAUAAUCUCUCCUCCGUGGGAGCUAAUGAUGCUUUGUACUUUUUUGUAAUAUAACUGCCUGUGGUGUAAAAUAUUUUGGCAUUGUAUCUCUGGACUCACCUUCGUGUGAGGUACCUUGUUGGAUCCUGCGUUCGGUGGUUUAUCGGGACGUUACCCGACAGACCAAUAGUUUUAUACCGUUUGAAGUACGAGGUAGCCCUUCGGUGAGGACUCGCGUACUUGAGCCGGUAUAAUUCAGGUUGGUUCUGCCACAGGAAUCUCAUCCAUCAUCCAUACAUAACGAAUUGGUAUGGUAUAUUCAUACCAUAACAUAAGAACAAUAAGAACUCGAAUUCUUAUCGAUACUGGAACUCAGAGCAUAGGAGGGAAAGUCGAUUUAUGGAUGGAAUCAAAUACGCAGUAUUUACAGAAAAGAGUCUUCGUUUAUUGGGAAAGAAUCAAUAUACUUUUAAUGUCGAAUCGGGAUUCACUAAGACAGAAAUAAAGCAUUGGGUCGAACUCUUCUUUGGUGUUAAGGUAGUAGCUGUGAAUAGCCAUCGACUACCCGGAAAGGGUAGAAGAAUGGGACCUAUUCUGGGACAUACAAUGCAUUACAUACGUAUGAUCAUUACCCUUCAACCGGGUUAUUCUAUUCCACUUCUAGAUAGAGAAAUGAACUAAAGGAGAAUACUUAAUAAUACGGCGAAACAUUUAUACAAAACACCUAUCCCGAGCACAUGCAAGGGAACCGUAGACAGGUAAGUGAAAUCCAAUCCACGAAAUAAAUUGAUCCAUGGACGGCACCAUUGUGGUAAAGGUCGUAAUGCCAGAGGAAUCAUUACCGCAAGGCAUAGAGGGGGAGGUCAUAAGCGCCUAUACCGUAAAAUCGAUUUUUGACGAAAUCAAAAAGACAUAUCUGGUAGAAUCGUAACCAUAGAAUACGACCCUAAUCGAAAUGCAUACAUUUGUCUCAUACACUAUGGGGAUGGUGAGAAGAGAUAUAUUUUACAUCCCAGAGGGGCUAUAAUUGGAGAUACUAUUGUUUCUGGUACAAAAGUUCCUAUAUCAAUGGGAAAUGCCCUACCUUUGAGUGCGGUUUGAACUAUUGAUUUACGUAAUUGGAAGUAACCAAUUAGGUUUAUGACGAAACCUAGAAAUCGAUCACUGAUCCAAUUUGACUACCUCUACGGGAUAGACCUCAAUAGAAAACUGUUGAGUAACGGCAGCAAGUGAUUGAGUUCAGUAGUUCCUCAUAGAAAAUUAUUGACUCUAGAGAUAUGGUAAUAUGGAGAAGACAAAAUUGUUUGAAGCACGCACAGAACCGGAAGCGCCCCUUAUUUCAAAGAGAGGAGGACAGGUUAUCCACAUUUAAUUUGAUGGUCAGAGGCGAAUUGAAAGCUAAGCAGUGGUAAUUAAGACCCCCGGGUGAAAAUAGGGAUGUCUCCUACGUUACCCAUAAUAUGUGGAAGUAUUGACGUAAUUUCAUAGAGUCAUUCGAUCUGAAUGCUACAUGAAGAACAUAAGCCAGAUGACGGAACGCGGAGACCUAGGAUGUAGAAGAUCAUAACAUGAGCAAUUCGGCAGAUUUGGAUUCCUUUUCUAUAUAUCUACUCAUGUGGUACUUCAUCAUACGAUUCAUAUAAGAUCCAUCUGUCUAGAGAUCGUCAUAUACAUCUAGAAAGCCGUAUGCCUUGGAAGAAGCUUGUACAGUUUGGCAAGGGGUUUUUUGAGAAAAAAGAAGAAUCUACUUCAACCGAUAUGCCCUUAGGCACGGCCAUACAUAACAUAGAAAUCACACGUGGAAGGGGUGGGCAAUUAGCUAGAGCAGUAGGUGCUGUAGCGAAACUGAUUGCAAAAGAGGGUAAAUUGGCCACUUUAAGAUUACCAUCUGGGGAGGUCCGUUUGGUAUCCCAAAACUGCUUAGCAACAGUCGGACAAGUGGGUAAUGUUGGGGUGAACCAAAAAAGUUUGGGUAGAGCCGGAUCUAAGUGUUGGCUAGGUAAACGCCCCGUAGUAAGAGGGGUAGUUAUGAACCCUGUGGACCACCCCCAUGGGGGCGGUGAAGGGAAAGCCCCCAUUGGUAGAAAAAAACCCACAACCCCUUGGGGUUAUCCUGCGCUUGGAAGAAGAACUAGGAAAAGGAAAAAAUAUAGUGAUAGUUUUAUUCUUCGUCGCCGUAAGUAAAUACGUAACUAGGAGUAUGGAAAAUUGCAUUUUUGGAAUUUGCAAUAAUGCGAUGGGCGAACGACGGGAAUUGAACCCGCGCAUGGUGGAUUCACAAUCCACUGCCUUGAUCCACUUGGCUACAUCCGCCCCUUAUCCAGCUAAAGGAUUUUCUCUUUUUUCCAUUCAUCAUUAUUCUAUUUAUUCUGACCUCCAUACCUCAGAUCGAGAUAGUGGACAUAGUAUGCCACUCUUUAAAAUGAAAAAAAGGAGUAAUCAGCUGUGACAUGAAAAAAAACGAAUCCUUUUGUAGCUUGUCAUUUAUUGGCAAAAAUCGAAAAGGUUAAUAUGAAGGAAGAGAAAGAAAUAAUAGUAACGUGGUCCCGGGCAUCUCUAGCAUUCUACCCGCAAUGGUUGGCCAUACAAUCGCGAUUCAUAAUGGAAAGGAACAUAUACCUAUUUACAUAACAAAUCCUAUGGUAGGUCGCAAAUUGGGGGAAUUUGUGCCUACUCGGCAUUUCACGAGUCAUGAAAGUGCAAGAAAGGAUACUAAAUCUCGUCGUUAAGUGAAUUCAGAAUAGAAAGAUUCAGAAUAAACAAAAUUUAUAGGAUUCAAAUAAAGUAAAGGUAGGCAGGUAAUAAUCUUAUUUAUGACAAGUUUCAAAUUGGUAAAGUAUAUCCCUAGGAUAAAGAAGAAGAAGAACGGGCUAAGGAAACUCGCAAGAAAAGUUCCAACCGAUCGUCUGCUUAAAUUCGAACGGGUUUUCAAAGCACAAAAACGCAUACAUAUGUCUGUUUUCAAAGCACAAAGAGUUCUUGAUGAGAUUCGCUGGCGUUACUACGAGGAAACCAUUAUGAUACUGAACCUCAUGCCUUAUCGAGCGUCUUAUCCCAUCUUAAAGUUGGUUUAUUCGGCAGCAGCAAAUGCUACUCAUUAUAGGGAUUUCGACAAAGCGAGUUUAUUCAUCACUAAAGCCGAAGUCAGUAGGAGUACUAUUAUGAAAAAAUUCAGACCUCGAGCUCGAGGACGUAGUUAUUCUAUAAAAAAAGCCAUGUGUCAUAUAACAAUUGUACUAAAUAUAGUAAAGAAAUCUAAAUAAUCUUUAGAUCAAUCCAAGAUUUCGAUUCCCAAUAAAAAAAAGAAAUAGAAUAGAAAAAUAUGGGAUAAAAAAUAAAUCCACUCGGUUUCAGACUUGGUACAACCCAAAAUCACCAUUCCUUUUGGUUCGCACAACCAAAAAAUUAUUCUGAAGGUUUACAGGAAGAUAAAAAAAUACGGAAUUGUAUCAAGAACUAUAUACAAAAGAAUAGGAAAAAAGGCUUGAAUAGAAAAAUAGAAUCAGACUCAAGUUCUGAAGUAAUUACACAUAUAGAAAUUCAAAAAGAAAUCGAUACAAUCCACGUCAUAAUCCAUAUUGGAUUCCCCAAUUUAUUAAAGAAAAAGGGUGCAAUCGAAGAAUUAGAGAACAAUCUCCAAAAGGAAGUUAAUUCUGUAAACCAGAGACUUAAUAUUGCUAUCGAAAAGGUUAAAGAACCUUAUAGAAAACCUAAUAUUCUUGCAGAAUAUAUAGCUUUCCCAUUAAAAAAUAGAGUUUCAUUCCGAAAAAGCAAUGAAAAAAGCCAUUGAAUUAACUAAAAAAGCAGACAUAAAGGGAGUCAAAAUCAAAAUUGCGGGUCGUCUAGCAGGGAAAGAAAUUGCACGUGCCGAAUGCAUUAAAAAGGGCAGACUGCCCCUCCAAACAAUUCGCGCUAAAAUUGAUUAUUGCUGCUAUCCAAUUCGAACUAUCUAUGGAGUAUUAGGUGUAAAAAUUUGGAUAUUCGUAGAAGAAGAAUAACUAACCAUGUCUUCCCAUUCUUCCCUAUGAUAGAAUAAAAAAGACAACAACCUUAUUUUUCCAAAAAUCCCUAAAAAAAGAAAAAAUUCUAUAUACCUCUUUCUAUAAGAUUUAAUGAAAAUUGAUAAAUCUUUUAACAUAAUUGCUAUGCUUAGUGUGUGACUCGUUAGUUUUUUCUUUAGGGUCAAAAAUGAAGAUUGAGAAAAAAAUUGGCUGAACCCUACUAAAAAUAGAAAAAAACUUAGUAAUUAUAGAAAAUUAACUAAUAACCAACCUAUUGCUUCGUAUUGUCGAGAUCCUAACUAAGAAACAGUCACUAUGUGAAUAAAUACAUCUAUAAAAAAUGAGUAGAUCUAUCAUAUAGUUGUAGCAACUGUAUUUUUUUCUCUAUAAAAGAAACCAGAUUUUAGGCUGUAAAGCAAAACUAAAGGGAUGUGGAUAAAAGGAGGGAUGAUAGAUAGAAGGAAGAAGAAUAAGAAAGAUAUAGGAUUCCAAUGUGUAUGGUCUAUGAAUUACAUCAUAAAAAAAGCAAUGUGAUAAAGCAUCAAUAUAAUAAAAUAAUAAAAAAAGAGAGAAUUCGAAAUCGUAACUUUCGAAACAACAAAUAAAAAUUUAAAGAAAUAAAAAAGAGCAGCCCGCGUUAAUAAAACUGAGAAAAUUGACUCGGAAAGAAAUUUUUUGUUUUUGAAAGCUCCAUUGCAGGAUUCAAACCUAACCAUUAAAGGAGAAGCUGUGGGAACAACAAAACCUAUGACGGCAUCGAAUUUUAUUGAAAAGAAUCCUAACACUUCAUUGGGUGGGAUGGCGGAACAAACAAAAAAAUUGCUUUAUUUGAUAAAGUUCUAAAUUAACAAAUAAGACAGGAAAGAGUAAAUAUUCGCCCGUGAAAUCCUUAUUCGAUUACAAUACUUUACCACGAUUCAAUAAGAAUAAAAAUAAGGAGAUUAAAAAAAAGAAAGAUUCUAUUUUCUAUAAAUAUAGAAUUUGAAUAUAUUCUAGAUCUUCUUUCUUGACUAUAUAUUUUUAUAUUUUAAGAAAGUCAAAAUAAAAAAAAACCUAACUUUUUCUAUUAUAUAUUGAUGUGUAUCUAUCCAUAAUAUUUUGGAAUAUUAUGGAAUUAGAGAAAUUCGCACGCUUUCUCAUUUAAUUCGCGAGGAGCUGGAUGAGAAGAAACUCUCAUGUCCAGUUUUGCAGUAGAGAUGGAACUAAGAAAGAACAGUCGACUAUAACCCCAAAAGAACUAGAUUUCGUAAACAACAUAGAGGAAGAAUGAAGGGAAAAUCCUGCCGAGGCAAUCGUAUUUGUUUUGGUAGAUAUGCUCUUCAAGUACUUGAACCCGCUUGGAUCACCGCAAGACAGAUAGAAGCAGGAUGAAGAGCAAUGACACGAUAUGCACGUCGUGGUGGAAAAAUCUGGGUGCGUAUCUUUCCCGACAAACCGGUUACAAUAAGACCCACAGAAACAUGUAUGGGCUCGGGAAAGGGAUCCCCCGAAUAUUGGGUAGCCGUUGUUAAACCAGGUCGAAUACUUUAUGAAAUGAGCGGAGUAUCCGAAACUGUAGCUAGAGCAGCUAUCUCUAUAGCUGCCAGUAAAAUGCCCAUACGAAGUCAAUUUCUUCGAUUAGAGAUAUAGAACCCCAAAAAGGAGUAUUGAAGAUAAAAAACCCCAGGUUUUUCUUUCUGGAAAGACAAUAUUUCUUUCAUCCUUUUGCAUUGAAAUAACAAAUAAAAAUAAAAAUAAUAUGAUUCAACCUCAGACCCUUUUAAAUGUAGCAGAUAACAGUGGAGCUAGAAAAUUGAUGUGUAUUCGAGUCAUAGGAGCCGCUGGUAAUCAGCGAUAUGCUCGUAUUGGUGAUGUUAUUGUUGCUGUAAUCAAAGACGCAGUACCCCAAAUGCCUCUAGAAAGAUCCGAAGUAAUUCGAGCUGUAAUUGUACGUACAUGUAAAGAAUUCAAAUGCGAAGAUGGUAUAAUAAUAUGCUAUGAUGACAAUGCAGCAGUUAUCAUUUAUCAAAAAGGAAAUCCAAAAGGAACUCGAGUUUUUGGCGCGAUUGCUGAAGAAUUGAGAGAAUUGAAUUUUAUGAAAAUAGUUUCAUUAGCUCCUAAAGUAUUAUAAACACUAGUAGACGAGAUAUAGAUCAAAGAAAAAUUAGUAGAUUGUGUCUCACGUAUAUGCUUUAAAAUCCAAAAUUAAAAGAAAAAGGAAAACAUGUUGAUUAUAGAAAAAUUAGGAGGAACCUAGAAUUAGAGUCUUAUGGGCUAG